GACGAACGCUGGCGGCGUGCUUAACACAUGCAAGUCGAACGAUGAAGCCGGAGCUUGCUCUGGUGAAUUAGUGGCGAACGGGUGAGUAACACGUGAGUAACCUGCCCUUGACUCUGGGAUAACUGCGGGAAACUGUAGCUAAUACCGGAUACGACCCUCGGAGGCAUCUCCUGGGGGUGGAAAGAAUUUCGGUCAAGGAUGGACCCGCGGCCUAUCAGCUAGUUGGUGAGGUAAAGGCUCACCAAGGCGACGACGGGUAGCCGGCCUGAGAGGGUGAACGGCCACACUGGGACUGAGACACGGCCCAGACUCCUACGGGAGGCAGCAGUGGGGAAUAUUGCACAAUGGGCGCAAGCCUGAUGCAGCAACGCCGCGUGAGGGAUGACGGCCUUCGGGUUGUAAACCUCUUUUAGCAGGGAAGAAGCGAAAGUGACGGUACCUGCAGAAAAAGCACCGGCUAACUACGUGCCAGCCGCCGCAGUAA
rnacentral:rRNA from 1 species